rnacentral:rRNA from 2 species
UGAUUCCCCUAGUAACGGCGAGUGAAGAGGGAAAAGCUCAAAGUUGGAACCUGGCUGUCCUAGAUAGUCCGGAUUGUAAACUAAAGAGCGUGAGUCCAGGCAAGCCGGUUGAUCAAGUCCUUUGGAAUGAGGCGCCACUGAGGGUGAGAGCCCCGUAAAUCGACUGAGCAUUUGUCUUUUGUGUCUCGCGUUCAAAGAGUCAGGUUGUUUGGGAAUGCAGCCUAAAGCUGGUGGUAAAUCCCACCUAAAGCUAAAUACAGGCGAGAGACCGAUAGCGAACAAGUACCGUGAGGGAAAGAUGAAAAGUACUUUGAAAAGAGAGUUAAACAGUAUGUGAAAUUGCCAAGAGGGAAGCAUUUGGAGUUAGACUGACUUGGAGUUAAUCAGCUUGGUCUUUGGACUGGGUGUACUUGACUUCUAUGUCUGCCAACAGCAGUUAGUCCUGAUGGAAAAAACUGAAGGGAAGGUAGUCCUUCGGGAUGUUUAUAGACCUUUGGAAAAUACACUGGGAUUGACUGAGGAAUGCAGUAGAUGCUAUUAAGGCUUCGUCUAUUGGGUGUUAGGUAAAGGUACUUGGUAUUUUCAGCUUGCUGAUGUGCUAGGUUACUUGAGCUUAAUUGCCUAGUAGAACUGUAAUCUACUU